CCUGAGCACCAUUUACUGAGUCCUUUGUUCUCUACUAGUUUGUAGCAGAGAACAAAGGACUCAGUAAAUGGUACUCAGG
rnacentral:miRNA from 1 species